UUCAUAUUUUAAAAAGAGGGAAUGAAAAGGUGUGACACAUGUAUAAAUGCUUUAAAUUGCUGAACAGUGUUUUGCAGCCUGCUGACCUGUAAAGUAAGCUGAGGCACCAAGUCUAUUUUGGUCUUUUCUGUGGAAGGCCACCUACAUAGGCUCUGGAAGAAUGAAGAAUAUGUGAAGGCUGAAAAAAGCAUCUGUUCUUUAAUACCUUGGCUCAGACCGGUGGGAUUUAGGAGAUCUUCCUGAGAGCUUGCAGAAAGCUCUUCUUAUAUUUCUGUUUUAGAAGUUACCUAUGCAAUUUUGAAUUCUCAGAGACUGCAGACCAGGUUUGUGCAAUGCGAGCUGGGUCACAAGCGUCAGCACACGUCCCUGCUGCUUCGGUGUGCGAACAGAUGUCGUCAGGCACCACGCUGGGAGAACGUCCUCUCUCAAACCCUUGCAAACUUCCCAAAUCCUCCUGAGGCUCCCUGGGGAUCUGCACCCCAGAGCUGUUGCAGAGGUUGGUUGUGCAUGUGCCCAGCAAUGCUGGGAGGCUCUAUGUAGCCAUCCUUCUCAUCCCCGUGCCGGGUGCCAUGGCCCUGAGAGCCACACUUGCCCUGGGAUUCGGGGGCGUCAGCAGGCAGCGAUGCCAGCCUGAGUGCUGGGUAAAGCCUUUGGGCAGUGCUGCCCUGAAACUGCUUUACUGCAGAAAGGGAAGAUUAUUAAGAGAACAAAAUGAUGAAUAGAGAACAGUGGAAAUUAUUUUUCCACCUGCAAGGCUCCUGUGGAUGACUCUAUACCAGAAAUUAAGACAGAAUUGGGGUAGUGACAUUUUUGUCUAUACCAGAUUUGCAGCGUACAGAUUUAUUUUUUCUCUUUCUGUUCUGAGAAGAAGACCAUCUUUUCUUUCUAGUUUUGCUGUGAUUGUUUGUUUAUUUUCCUCCUUACGCUAGAUGAAAUAACGUUUUAUUUCUGUCUCACUCUCUUUUGGGUGAGGGAGGAGAUGUAUGCAACCCUGCAAGAUUUGGGGGCAGGGAAAAGAUGGAAGAGAUCUCUCUUGGAUUUUAUUUUUGUUUCAUUUUUGUUUAAAAUAUGGUUUUCUGUUACUAUAGCUACUGGCUCUGUCAUGCUCACACACAGGUGCUUUGUCACCUCGUCUUUAGAAACAGAUUGAUCAUGGUAUCAAACCAUUGAAGCUCAGGGGCAGCGGGGAUACAGGUGAAAAACAGGAGACUGGAAAACCACGGACAGACCUGAGUCCAGCAUAGGAAGAGAAAAGACAGAUGCAGAGGAUUGGCAAGACGUCACGUUUUCCAGGCUUGUAAUGGGACGCUGGAAGAAACAGAAAAGAAGUCGGAUAUUGGGAAGCCUGUGAUGAGCAUCUCCUCUUCCCACGCAAGUGCCCAGGGCGAUGUGAUGACACACUUGAGGUGUCUGCCUUGAAACGAACCAAAUGCUGACAGUCGCAGAUGUAUAAAUAUUGAACUGAGGGCUUCUCAGAGUUGCCAGACAUACAGCAUCCUUUGCCAAAAAAGUGUGAAAAAGACCCUCGACUCUUCAUUAUAAAAAUCUUGGUUACAUUUCUGUAAAUGAUCCUGUACUGUGGCAUGCAAUUGUUCUCCUGCAUUCCUCAUGUAUUCUUCUCUUCUACAAAUAAAUUGAACACUGUGCAGUCAGAGAA